rnacentral:rRNA from 1 species
ACGGAGAUUUUAGCAAUAGAAUCUUAGUGGCGAACGGGUGAGUAACGCGUAGGCAAUCUGCCUUCUAGAUGGGGACAACAUCCCGAAAGGGGUGCUAAUACCGAAUGUUGUAGUGAGUCUGCAUGGACUAACUACUAAAGGUGGCCUCUGAAUAUGCUACCGCUAGAAGAUGAGCCUGCGUCUGAUUAGCUAGUUGGAGGGGUAACGGCCCACCAAGGCAACGAUCAGUAGCCGGUCUGAGAGGAUGAACGGCCACACUGGGACUGAGACACGGCCCAGACUCCUACGGGAGGCAGCAGUGGGGAAUCUUCCGCAAUGGACGAAAGUCUGACGGAGCAACGCCGCGUGAGUGAAGAAGGUUUUCGGAUCGUAAAGCUCUUUCGUUAGGGACGAACGUGCUCUUUGUGAAUAAUGAGGAGUAAUGACGGUACCUAAAUAAGAAGCCACGGCUAACUACGUGCCAGCAGCCGCGGUAAUACGUAGGUGGCAAGCGUUGUCCGGAAUUAUUGGGCGUAAAGCGCGCGCAGGCGGGAUAUCAAGUCUGUCUUAAAAGUGCGAGGCUCAACCUCGUGAGGGGACAGAAACUGGUAUUCUUGAGUGUCGGAGAGGAAAGUGGAAUUCCAAGUGUAGCGGUGAAAUGCGUAGAGAUUUGGAAGAACACCAGUGGCGAAGGCGACUUUCUGGACGAUGUCUGACGCUGAGGCGCGAAAGCUAGGGGAGCGAACGGGAUUAGAUACCCCGGUAGUCCUAGCCGUA